rnacentral:rRNA from 1 species
ACUUGUGAGGAGGUUGAGCUGGCUUUGCAAGUGCUCACCUUCUUUCAAUCUUCAUCCACCUGUGCACCCUUUGUAGGGAUAUAGAAGUCUGGAACGGUGUAAAAGCCAAGUACGGGUCUCUAUUCUCUAUGUUUUUACACACACUUAAUGUAUGUUUAUGAAUGUCUACUAGGGACUUAAUUGACCCUAUAAAAGUUAAUACAACUUUCAGCAACGGAUCUCUUGGCUCUCGCAUCGAUGAAGAACGCAGCGAAAUGCGAUAAGUAAUGUGAAUUGCAGAAUUCAGUGAAUCAUCGAAUCUUUGAACGCACCUUGCGCCCCUUGGUAUUCCGAGGGGCAUGCCUGUUUGAGUGUCAUUAAAUUCUCAACCUCAUAAGCUUUUGCUUAUUGAGGAUUGGAUGUGAGGGUUUUGCUGGCUUGUAACAGAGUCAGCUCCCUUGAAAUGCAUUAGUGGAUUCAACCAGUUGUAGACCACAUUGGUGUGAUAAUUAUCUACGCCAUUGACUCAAGUGUCUGCAGUUUGGAAGGUUGCAAUGUAACAGUUGCUCUUUCUGUUCCAAGUGUUGUCCGCUUCAAACCGUCCUAAGUUACUGGACAACUUUGACUUGU